rnacentral:rRNA from 1 species
AUACGGAGGGUGCAAGCGUUACUCGGAAUCACUGGGCGUAAAGGACGCGUAGGCGGGUUGGCAAGUCAGAUGUGAAAUCCUACAGCUUAACUGUAGAACUGCAUUUGAAACUGCUAACCUAGAGUAUGGGAGGGGGAGAUGGAAUUAGUGGUGUAGGGGUAAAAUCCGUAGAUAUCACUAGGAAUACCGAAAGCGAAGGCGAUCUCCUGGAACAUAACUGACGCUAAGGCGUGAAAGCGUGGGGAGCGAACAGGAUUAGAAACCCCAGUAGUCC